AAGUCGAACGGUAGCAGGAGAAAGCUUGCUUUCUUGCUGACGAGUGGCGGACGGGUGAGUAAUGCUUGGGAAUCUGGCUUAUGGAGGGGGAUAACUACGGGAAACUGUAGCUAAUACCGCGUAGUAUCGGAAGAUGAAAGUGCGGGACCGCAAGGCCGCAUGCCAUGGGAUGAGCCCAAGUGGGAUUAGGUAGUUGGUGGGGUAAAGGCCUACCAAGCCUGCGAUCUCUAGCUGGUCUGAGAGGAUGGCCAGCCACACUGGAACUGAGACACGGUCCAGACUCCUACGGGAGGCAGCAGUGGGGAAUAUUGCGCAAUGGGGGGAACCCUGACGCAGCCAUGCCGCGUGAAUGAAGAAGGCCUUCGGGUUGUAAAGUUCUUUCGGUAUUGAGGAAGGUUGAUGUGUUAAUAGUACAUCAAAUUGACGUUAAAUACAGAAGAAGCACCGGCUAACUCCGUGCCAGCAGCCGCGGUAAUACGGAGGGUGCGAGCGUUAAUCGGAAUAACUGGGCGUAAAGGGCACGCAGGCGGUUAUUUAAGUGAGGUGUGAAAGCCCCGGGCUUAACCUGGGAAUUGCAUUUCAGACUGGGUAACUAGAGUACUUUAGGGAGGGGUAGAAUUCCACGUGUAGCGGUGAAAUGCGUAGAGAUGUGGAGGAACACCGAAGGCGAAGGCAGCCCCUUGGGAAUGUACUGACGCUCAUGUGCGAAAGCGUGGGGAGCAAACAGGAUUAGAUACCCUGGUAGUCCACGCUGUAAACGCUGUCGAUUUGGGGGUUGGGGUUUAACUCUGGCACCCGUAGCUAACGUGAUAAAUCGACCGCCUGGGGAGUACGGCCGCAAGGUUAAAACUCAAAUGAAUUGACGGGGGCCCGCACAAGCGGUGGAGCAUGUGGUUUAAUUCGAUGC
rnacentral:rRNA from 1 species